rnacentral:rRNA from 1 species
UACAGAGACUGCAAGCGUUAUUCGGAUUCACUGGGCGUAAAGGGUGCGCAGGCGGCCGUGUGUGUCAGAUGUGAAAUCCCGGGGCUUAACUCCGGAACUGCGUCUGAAACUACACGGCUAGAGCAUUGGAGAGGGUAGUGGAAUUCACGGUGUAGCAGUGAAAUGCGUAGAUAUCGUGAGGAACACCAGAGGCGAAGGCGACUACCUGGACAAUUGCUGACGCUCAGGCACGAAAGCGUGGGGAGCCAAAGGG